AGAUAGAUGUAAUUUCAGUUAAAUUCAGUUAUGCACACAAAAUUCAGUUAAUAGCUUAAUGUUUUGGACUGAUGAUGUUGUUGGAAUUUGUACUACUGAAAAUUAAAAAAAUGUACUCCUUUAAUUAACAUUGAUUCAUUGAGAUGGUGGUAUGAUCAAAUUAAGAAAAUUCAGUACCUUUUCUGUUACUGUAGAGUACUUAAAAAUUAGGAGUAGCUAGGAGCAAAAUUAAAAUUAGGAUUAGGAUGGUGGUAUGAUUGCUGCUAUUCCUAACAUCAUCGGCUGGCUUGCCAUCUCCUUCGCAAAAGACACUUCUUUCCUGUAUAUGGGACGAUUGCUUGAAGGAUUUGGUGUUGGUGUCAUAUCCUACACGGUGAACAGAUGGACA